CCUACGGGAGGCAGCAGUGGGGAAUAUUGGGCAAUGGAGGAAACUCUGACCCAGCGACGCCGCGUGCGGGAUGAAGGCCUUCGGGUUGUAAACCGCUUUCAGUAGGGAAGAAGCGAAAGUGACGGUACCUACAAAAGAAGCACCGGCUAACUAUGUGCCUGCAGCCGCGGUAAUACAUAGGGUGCAAGCGUUGUCCGGAAUUAUUGGGCGUAAAGAGCUCGUAGGUCGUUUGUUACGUCGGAUGUGAAAACCUGAGGCUCAACCUCAGGCCUGCAUUCGAUACGGGCAAACUAGAGUUUGGUAGGGGAGACUGGAAUUCCUGGUGUAGCGGUGGAAUGCGCAGAUAUCAGGAGGAACACCAAUGGCGAAGGCAGGUCUCUGGGCCAAUACUGACACUGAGGAGCGAAAGUCUGGGGAGCGAACAGGAUUAGAUACCCUGGUAGUCCAGACCGUAAACGGUGGGCACUAGUUGUGGGAACCUUCCACGGUUUCUGCGACGCNGCUACGCAUAGUAGUCCGCCGUCGGAGGUACGAGUCGCGAGAGUUAAACGUUAAACGUAAAGUUAGUACGGUCGUGUAGAGUUGUCGACGACGACGACGAGGGAGGAGG
rnacentral:rRNA from 1 species